rfam:[Clostridium] termitidis CT1112 Ct_contig00029, whole genome shotgun sequence.
GAGAACUGAUAAUCCAAGGAGUGGAAUGACAGGGUAACGCCUUGAAACGCUCCCCUUAAUACUCCGACUGGCAUUUAUGGCGAAAGCUUAUAGAUGUCAGAAGCUCGGUGAAGUCGUCUGAGAGUGACCGUAGAUUGUUAAGGUUUAACAAUCCGAAAACUGUCCAGAGGUGGAUGGUGUCACCUACAGGUCGGAGGUCUAUAAA